UCUUUAUCUCGACUGUGACAGCAUGCAGUCUCCCCCACCAAGCUGGAGUCUCCUUCUGAUCACGCAUACUCGGAGCCAACAGAUCUAGGCGAUUUCCCGUAAUGGAUCGACAGCCCCAAAUACCGGAGUGCCGGCGAUGGCAUUCCCGAAGAACGGCAAUUUCCAUCGUCUUAUCGCUCUUCUUACACCUUUCUUCAGAUCACCCACGUUCUUCCGACCAAACCGAUCCUUUUUUCACCUGUAACAAAAGGAUUCUUAUGUAAUUAUCACCUUUAAAAUCCAGGCUUAUUGCGCCAAUAGGAAACAAAACUCGAUUGGAAGUAUUGUGCAUAAUCAAGUAUACGAUCCGUACAAAAAU